rnacentral:rRNA from 1 species
CCUACGGGUGGCAGCAGUGAGGAAUAUUGGUCAAUGGACGCGAGUCUGAACCAGCCAAGUAGCGUGCAGGAUGACUGCCCUAUGGGUUGUAAACUUCUUUUAUAUGGGAAUAAAAUGUUCCACGUGUGGGAUUUUGUAUGUACCAUAUGAAUAAGGAUCGGCUAACUCCGUGCCAGCAGCCGCGGUAAUACGGAGGAUUCGAGCGUUAUCCGGAUUUAUUGGGUUUAAAGGGUGCGUAGGUGGUUUGAUAAGUUAGUGGUGAAAGUGUGCGGCUCAACCGUGAAAUUGCAGUUGAUACUGGCAGUCUUGAGUAUAGUAGAGGUGGGCGGAAUGUGUGGUGUAGCGGUGAAAUGCUUAGAGAUCACGAAGAACUCCGAUUGCGAAGGCAGCUCACUAGACUGCAACUGACACUGAGGCUCGAAAGCGUGGGGAGCAAACAGGAUUAGAUACCCGGGUAGUC